GGUUAAGCGACUAAGCGUACACGGUGGAUGCCCUGGCAGUCAGAGGCGAUGAAGGACGUGCUAAUCUGCGAUAAGCGUCGGUAAGGUGAUAUGAACCGUUAUAACCGGCGAUUUCCGAAUGGGGAAACCCAGUGUGAUUCGUCACACUAUCAUUAACUGAAUCCAUAGGUUAAUGAGGCGAACCGGGGGAACUGAAACAUCUAAGUACCCCGAGGAAAAGAAAUCAACCGAGAUUCCCCCAGUAGCGGCGAGCGAACGGGGAGCAGCCCAGAGCCUGAAUCAGUGUGUGUGUUAGUGGAAGCGUCUGGAAAGGCGCGCGAUACAGGGUGACAGCCCCGUACACAAAAAUGCACAUGCUGUGAGCUCGAUGAGUAGGGCGGGACACGUGGUAUCCUGUCUGAAUAUGGGGGGACCAUCCUCCAAGGCUAAAUACUCCUGACUGACCGAUAGUGAACCAGUACCGUGAGGGAAAGGCGAAAAGAACCCCGGCGAGGGGAGUGAAAAAGAACCUGAAACCGUGUACGUACAAGCAGUGGGAGCACAGAGCAAUCUGUGUGACUGCGUACCUUUUGUAUAAUGGGUCAGCGACUUAUAUUCUGUAGCAAGGUUAACCGAAUAGGGGAGCCGAAGGGAAACCGAGUCUUAACUGGGCGUUAAGUUGCAGGGUAUAGACCCGAAACCCGGUGAUCUAGCCAUGGGCAGGUUGAAGGUUGGGUAACACUAACUGGAGGACCGAACCGACUAAUGUUGAAAAAUUAGCGGAUGACUUGUGGCUGGGGGUGAAAGGCCAAUCAAACCGGGAGAUAGCUGGUUCUCCCCGAAAGCUAUUUAGGUAGCGCCUCGUGAAUUCAUCUCCGGGGGUAGAGCACUGUUUCGGCAAGGGGGUCAUCCCGACUUACCAACCCGAUGCAAACUGCGAAUACCGGAGAAUGUUAUCACGGGAGACACACGGCGGGUGCUAACGUCCGUCGUGAAGAGGGAAACAACCCAGACCGCCAGCUAAGGUCCCAAAGUCAUGGUUAAGUGGGAAACGAUGUGGGAAGGCCCAGACAGCCAGGAUGUUGGCUUAGAAGCAGCCAUCAUUUAAAGAAAGCGUAAUAGCUCACUGGUCGAGUCGGCCUGCGCGGAAGAUGUAACGGGGCUAAACCAUGCACCGAAGCUGCGGCAGCGACGCUUAUGCGUUGUUGGGUAGGGGAGCGUUCUGUAAGCCUGUGAAGGUGUACUGUGAGGUAUGCUGGAGGUAUCAGAAGUGCGAAUGCUGACAUAAGUAACGAUAAAGCGGGUGAAAAGCCCGCUCGCCGGAAGACCAAGGGUUCCUGUCCAACGUUAAUCGGGGCAGGGUGAGUCGACCCCUAAGGCGAGGCCGAAAGGCGUAGUCGAUGGGAAACAGGUUAAUAUUCCUGUACUUGGUGUUACUGCGAAGGGGGGACGGAGAAGGCUAUGUUGGCCGGGCGACGGUUGUCCCGGUUUAAGCGUGUAGGCUGGUUUUCCAGGCAAAUCCGGAAAAUCAAGGCUGAGGCGUGAUGACGAGGCACUACGGUGCUGAAGCAACAAAUGCCCUGCUUCCAGGAAAAGCCUCUAAGCAUCAGGUAACAUCAAAUCGUACCCCAAACCGACACAGGUGGUCAGGUAGAGAAUACCAAGGCGCUUGAGAGAACUCGGGUGAAGGAACUAGGCAAAAUGGUGCCGUAACUUCGGGAGAAGGCACGCUGAUAUGUAGGUGAAGCGACUUGCUCGUGGAGCUGAAAUCAGUCGAAGAUACCAGCUGGCUGCAACUGUUUAUUAAAAACACAGCACUGUGCAAACACGAAAGUGGACGUAUACGGUGUGACGCCUGCCCGGUGCCGGAAGGUUAAUUGAUGGGGUUAGCGCAAGCGAAGCUCUUGAUCGAAGCCCCGGUAAACGGCGGCCGUAACUAUAACGGUCCUAAGGUAGCGAAAUUCCUUGUCGGGUAAGUUCCGACCUGCACGAAUGGCGUAAUGAUGGCCAGGCUGUCUCCACCCGAGACUCAGUGAAAUUGAACUCGCUGUGAAGAUGCAGUGUACCCGCGGCAAGACGGAAAGACCCCGUGAACCUUUACUAUAGCUUGACACUGAACAUUGAGCCUUGAUGUGUAGGAUAGGUGGGAGGCUUUGAAGUGUGG
rnacentral:rRNA from 1 species